AGAUUGAGCUCAGCCUACUCCAGCAACUGGUUGGAGAGGACUGGGACCCAGGAGCCGGGCCAAAAUGAUGGGGCGGGUCUGGAGGCAGGGUCAGAGCCAGGGGGCGGGGCCAGGUGCGGGGCUGGUUCUUCUUGUCAAAAGGCAGACUCGGAGCUCCAGCCGUUCCGAGCUCAGAGCGAGCGUGUUCGGGGACCAGGUGCGGAGCAAGGACCAGGACGGGGCUCAGAGCUGGGACCGGGACCGAGACUGGGACCGGGAUUUGGUGGUGGGUCUUAGUGCUCCAGAGUUGUCAUUGAAAUGGUCCAGCUUUCUCCUGCCUACCACCUCACCCCUGAGUGAUCUCUUGAGCCGAUGACCUCUGCUGGUGAGUUCAAAGUGCAGAGUCAGGGACUGUGACUUCUACCAAAUGAGUUUGGGGAAGGGCAAACAGAGGGGUCACGCCUAGAGCUGAAAGAAGAGAUAUGGAUAGCCAGGCUUCUUCACCCUACUCAGAGCUAUCAAUGAGAGGGGUUGAUCUGGAACCUUUUACCCUUCUUGCUGCUACUGUUCUCCUUUGCUCAGGUAGGAGAAAAGGCUCUGUUUCCUCCUGGAGGAAAAAAGACA
rnacentral:lncRNA from 1 species